CCCCCCCCCCCCCCCCCCCCCCCCCCCCCCCCCCCCCCCCCCCCCCCCCCCCCCCCCCCCCCCCCCCCCCCCCGGCGGCGCGCGCGGGGCGCGGCCCCGGCCCCGGUCCCGGACGAAGACGGGGAACGCCUCAGUGCAGCGUUCGCCUCGAUCGAGAGGCUGAUGAGAGGAGUCUCAAAGGAGUGCGAGAACUACUAUGGUGCUAUGGCAGUCAACAAGUGCAAAGAGAAUGAAAUCAAACACUUCUGCAAGUACCAUGGCAAAUCAGUAGAAAGAAAGAUAGAUUCCACAGAAGAAGAGAGGACUGAAGGUCCUGUAGAAACCAGCCGAGCCCAAACUUGCCGGCGAAGUCCCAGAAGACCUUUGAAAGACUUUUACAUUGAAGUUUCUCCUGGCAUCUAUUCUGUCACAGCAAUCUCAGAAGAUGUAGCACAAACCCACGUAGUAGAUGUCAAUGCAGGACAAAGUGUUGAUUUAACUUUUGUUUUGUGAUAUUUUUUGUUUCCUGGCAUUAGCAGGAAUAAAACAUGAGGCUCUUUUUAAUGGAUGUAAUGAACUAUAAAUAUCUUUUUCUUGUUAGCACUUUAAUAUUAGCUUCCUCUUUGGGACUCCAUUUUUAUGGCCUGUAUAUUUGUUUUCUACUUAAUGCAAUUAUAUGCAGCCCACUUUGUACACUGAUUUUUAUAAAUAUUUGUACAUUGUGUGCCUUUUAAAUCCAAUUAUGUGACUGUGUAAUUCCAAAUUCUUCUGCUCUAAACAAUUAAAGAUACAAUCAGUGAAAUAAAAUACAUGAUCAAGCCUUUAUGAUGACAGCUUAUUUUGUAUUACCCUCAGAGAGAACCCCCAUGUCACAGUAUUGGCCAGAGAGAGCAUGAUCCAUGUGGUAUGAAUAUGGGUGUACAUUAGCUUCUGUAGGCUGGCACUGAUUUCAGAGCAGCUGGCUCACCAGCCACUCUCCUAUCUGUACUUCUGCUAGUCUGGUGAAGAAAUGAAAUGCAAAUGAAAUUCACUACCUAGAACCUCAACUCAGAAACAUGCUGAAAUAUGUGGCAGGUGUUCAGUCUAGGCAUAGGACCUAAUGAUUCAAGUUCUGCCUCUUUGCAGACCACACUAAACCCCUUUUCUGAGGGCUGUGGGGUGCCCUAAAUUAUCCAAUUUACUGCUGAGCAACUGCACACUGCAGCUUAAGGCUAAGUUCCUAUGCUUUAAGCAUGAGCAGUCC
rnacentral:lncRNA from 12 species